rnacentral:rRNA from 1 species
UACGUAGGGGGCGAGCGUUGUCCGGAUUUAUUGGGCGUAAAGAGCGUGUAGGCGGCCAGGUAGGUCAGCUGUGAAAACUCGAGGCUCAACCUCGAGAUGUCGGCUGAAACCAUCUGGCUAGAGUCCGGAAGAGGAGAAUGGAAUUCCCGGUGUAGCGGUGAAAUGCGCAGAUAUCGGGAAGAACACCCGUGGCGAAGGCGGUUCUCUGGGACGGUACUGACGCUGAGACGCGAAAGCUAGGGGAGCGAACAGG